rnacentral:lncRNA from 10 species
CAGAGGUAGGCAGUCCAGGUGGUGCAGCCACAUCACAAAGCCAGGAAGGAACUAGGCUCCUUCUGUCUCCCUGCUUGGACAUUUCCUGCAUGUCAGUUUCAUUCUCUGGGAUGUAAAAUGAACCCUGCCAGCGUUCCCAGGAGCCGCAGGACCCCAGAGAUGUUCCCAGCUGCAUGAUCCCGGGCAUCAGCUGAGGGCAAGUCAUCCUCUCUAAGGCUUUGAGUUGUGCAGGCUCCUUGGCUGCCUCAGCACCUCCCUCAAAGCAAAGUCCUCCCACCUUGGAGUUCAGCCCAUCAAGCCUUCCACCUACCCAGCUGCCUCAGUCACCAUCAGAGUCCAUGUCUGAAUAUCACCACCACUGGCUGGAUUGUUCUGAAUAUUCUCUAAUCUAACCUCAUUCCCACCCAUCUCCAUCCUCCCAAAUUAUUCCAAAAUGUCCCUUUGCAAUUCAUAGUUCAUCAUCAAUAAAGUCCCAGUGUAUCUUCAACCUCUCACCUAAAUAUUCCAUUCCGCUUCUUGCUCUAACUCGGGAGUUGGAAAACAUUUUUUUGUAAUGGGCCAGAUAGUAAAUAUUUUAGGCUUUGCAGGCCACAUCAUCUCCAUUGUCAUUGUUACUUGAAAGGGGUCCCAAUCCAGACACCAAGAGAGGGUGCUUGUAUCUUGUGCAGGAAGGAAUUCAGGGUGAGUCUGUAAAGUGAAAGCAAGUUUAUUGGAAAAGUAAAGAACACAAAAGAAUGGCUACUCUAUAGGCAGAGCAGCCCCGAGGGCUGCUGGUUGGUUAUCUUUAUGGUUAUUUCUUGAUCAUAUGCUAAACAAGGGGUGGAUUAUUCAUGAGUUUUCUGGGAAAGAGGUGGGAUUUUCCCAGGAACUGAGGGUUCCUCCCCUUUUCAGACCAUAUAGAAUAAUUUCCGGGUGUUGCCAUGGCAUCUGUAAACUGCCAUGGUGCUGGUGGGAGUGUCUUUUAGCAUGUGAAUGUAUUAUAGUUAGUGUAUAAUGAGCACUUUUGUCACCAUCUUGGAUUUGGUGGGUUUUGGCCAGCUUCUUUACUGCCUCCUGUUUUAUUGACAGGGUCUGUGUGACCCGUAUCUUGUGUGACCUGUAUCUUAUGCCGACCUCCUAUCUCAUCCAGUGACCAAGAAUGCCUAACCUCCUGAGAACGCAGCCCACAGUCUCAUGCUCAGAUGUCUCUGCUUGGGGAAACCAUGUUGUGAGCAAACCAACAGUGGGGGCCGUGUGGAGAGGAAGCCUCCUGCCAACGCCUUGCAAGUGAGCUUGCAAGUGGAUCCUCCAGCCCGAUGUCAAGAAUUCAGAGAGUAUGGCCUCAGCCAACAGCCUGAGAAACCCUGGCCCAGACCAUCCAGCCGGGUCAUCGCAGAUUCCCAACCCUCAGACAGCAUAUAAGAAAAUAAAUAUUUGCUCCUUUAAGCAGCUAAUUUUGCAGUAAUUUGUUAUACAGCAAUAGAUAACCAACACAGACCUCAGCCAGUCUAGUAUUGUCUACUGGGGCACUAUCUUUCUUCCUUGGUCUGAUAUCCCUAGUCUGUUUCUAAUUUUUUUGGUUUUUUUUUUUUUUUUGGUUUUUUGAGGCUCACUGCAGCCUUGAACUCCUGGGCGGACUCAAGCAAUCCUCCUGCCUUAGCCUCCCACACAGCUUGAACGACAGAUGCAUGCCACAAUAGCUGGCAAAUUUUAAGAAUUUUGCUAUUGAGAUGGGGGUCUCAACAUCUUGACCAGGCUGGUCUCAAACUGCUGGUCUGAAGCCAUCCUCCUGCCUUGGCCUCCCAAAGCUCUGGGAUUACAGGCACAAGCCACCAUGCCCAGUUUGUUUCUGGUCUUUUUUGAGGUGUGAUUUUCUUUCUCUUUUAAGACCCUGCCUCACCUGUGGGACCUGGCUGAUUUUCUUUUUUUCUUUUUUUUUUUUUUUUGAGACGGAGUUUGGCUCUGUCGCCUAAGCUGGAGUGCAGUGGCGUGAUCUCCUCUCACUGCACCCUCCACCUCCCAGGUUCAAGCAAUUAUCCUGCCUCGGCCUCCCGAGUAGCUGGGACUACAGGCCCACGCUGCCACGCCCGGCUAAUUUUUUGUAUUUUAGUAGAGAUGGGGGUUCACCGUGUUGCUCAGGCUGGUCGCGAACUCCUGAGCUCAGGCAAUCCGCCCACCUCGGCCUUCCAAAGUGCUGGGAUUACAGGCGUGAGCCACUGCGCCUGGCCGGUUGAUUAUUUUUUCUUAACUUUGACCUUUUGCUUUUCUCCUCCGCUAGGAUCCAGCCUCUCCCCUUGGUUGUUGCAGUCCCUGACUGAGGCUUUACAGCCUAGCGCAGACUCCUCGGUUCUCUCCAGCCCCAGAAUAGGAAUUCAGUUCUAGGCUGUGGAUUUCAAAUGUCAGAUAGCCAUUGGUGUCGACGUCUCUUGAUUAAUAUUUUAAAUACGAAAACAAGGCAAAAAAUUUCCCAGGGGAAAAUACUGCGUUUUUGAAUGUGUGUUUUUGAAUAUUCUUACUAUUAAUAAUAUCAUUGUCAUAUUUUAACCUUUCACUUGAGGAACAUAAGGAUUAUAAGAACAUGUAGAAGCAUGGAGGAGAUUUAGGAAAUCUGACUUAUACCUGAUAAAAAUGAGGCCCCUGAGGUUAUGUGAAGUUCCCAAGGUCACUCAGCGCUACGAAAGAGCAUUUCAGUGGAACAAGUAUGUCAAGGAUAAUGGAAGCUGAGAAAGGAUCUUUUGGGGAGGUGGGUGGGGCUUCCCUGAGGACGGCUAUCAUGCCUUUCUGUAUGAGUGAGUCCUAGUCCAGUUACCACAGGCUGGACACCGAAUGCAAUGAAGCAGCGAUAUGACUCGAGAUGCUGUUUCUUAUGUUUUUAUGUUACUUUUAGGUAUGACACAAAGUCUGGAUCAAAUAGCAGCUACUUGGCUGGGCACAGUAGCUCACGCCUGUAAUCCCAGUAAUUUGGGAGGCCGAGGCGGGUGGAUCACCUGAGGUCAGGAGUUCGAGACCAGCCUGGCCAACAUGGCAAAACUCCUUCUCUACUAAAAAUACAGAAAUCAGCCGGCCGUGGUGGCAGGCCUCUGUAAUCCCACCUACUGGGGAGGCUGAGGCAGGAGGAUCGCUUGAACCAGGGAGGCAGAGACUGCUGUGAGCUGAGAUCGCGCCACUGCACUACAGCCUGGGUUACAGAGCGAGACUCUGCAUCCAAAA